GCUUGCAAUGGCGAGCCCGGGAAGCGGAACAGGAACGGAGAGCGGCAUGGUUGUCGGAGGACGAAUGAAUUUCCUCUAUGGCCUUGCACUGCCUAAUAAAGGAGCUCUUGGAAGGAUCCUGUUCUGUUUAUGGUGCAUGUUAAGUACAUGCAAUGAUUUUCAUUAUUUCAAACUCCAUAAUGAAAUGACUGAGUGCCCAGCAACAUUAGAUGAUGGACAAACAUCUAUUCAACUGGCUGGAUGAACCAUGGCUUUCUGGCAUUAAAAGUGUAAUAGCUGGAUAAACAUAUUCGACGACAGACCUUGGCAAGAACUGCAAAGAUGCUCUUGACAAUGGCAUGAAUAAAUAUUAGGUGUUAUCUAGAAUUCACUGCAUUUGAGGCCUUGAGCAAAGCCAGGUAUUUGUUUUCAUCUGUUGGAGCAUGCACACAGUCUCUAGAAGAUGAGAAGGAAGACAGGGAGGAGAAAGAACAAUAACUAUUUUCUCUGAGCUGGUUUAUGUGCCACAGGUUUCUCCUAAAUCAAGAUGUAAGAAAUAGCACCAAGAAACAGGGUGGACUCCUUUACCUUACUGCUCCCAGCUGCUUUGGGAGCCUUGGGCUACUGUGUAAACAUGGCCAAGUCCAAGAACCACGCUACGCAUCACUAGUCCUGAAAAUGGAACAGAAAUGGCAUCAAGUAACCCCUAUGUCAAAGGUGUAAAUCUCUUAAGAGGGUGGGCCCCAAGUUCCUGAGGAACAUGCACUUUGCUAAGAAGCACAAGAAGGGCCGGAAGAGGCAGGUCAACGAUACCAGGGCCGCGAGUGCACCAACUGAGGCUGCCAGGGCCCUUGUGAAAUCCAAGGAGGUCAAGUCCAAGAUCCCGCAGGGCUUUUGGUGCAACACUCAGUCAACUUUCCUGCACUGAUCGCCCCAAGCUCAGGUAGUGUGCUCAUCCCUGCAUCAUCAAGAGUUUUCAGGCUCUGCUGGCCAAAGUCAAAGCCCGGGGCUCAAACCGAGCACCAGGAUGUGGCUGCAUCUCCAGCUCAGGCUCCCAAAUGUGCCCAGGGCCCUACCAAAGCCUGAGAGCAAUGUGACGGUAGAAGGACUGCUGUAGGACUGGUGUGGCCUCACAGCUGCCAUCUGCCUGUGGCUGGAGACCUCCUGUGUUGUUUGUACAAGCUGGAACUUUCUCUCCUGGAA